AUGGACCAAAGACACAGUCUUGUGUUAUGGAAACAGCAGUGAGGCUGAAUCAAAGGAGUCUCCAAGAGGAAUUCUGGGAUUGCAGCUGGUGGGAGAUCAUACAUUAUCCAAAACUUUGGAGUGAUGAACCUGUGAAGCACAGAAAGCCAUCAGAGAACUGUGAGCUUCAAGGUUCCAUCUGAACAUAAAGCUAUAUAAAGAACAGAGCAAUGAAAUAAAGAAGGCUGCACACAUUAACCUAGCAGAGUAAUGGAGAAGAAUUCAGCCUCAAGAAAUAUCUGCACUAAAUAUCUUUGAGCUGAUCCAGGAAGAAAAUGUAAAGAGUGUUUGCACUCCUUCAGAAUAUAGCCUUUUGUCCCUGUGGUGAGAUGGCUCGCUCCUUGUUUCUCAUAUAGACUUCCUCUGAAACCUUGGAGAACUCAUUUAUCCUCUCUCUGACCGAUCCAUCUGUCUGUAAA